CGCCCUUAGAGUUUGAUCAUGGCUCAGAUUGAACGCUGGCGGUAGGCUUAACACAUGCAAGUCGAGCGGUAACAGAGGAAUUAGCUUGCUAAUUUGCUGACGAGCGGCGGACGGGUGAGUAAUGCUUGGGAAUAUGCCUUUAGGUGGGGGACAACAGUUGGAAACGACUGCUAAUACCGCAUAAACUCUUCGGAGAAAAGUAGGGGAUCUUCGGACCUUACGCCUAUAGAUUAGCCCAAGUGGGAUUAGCUAGUUGGUGAGGUAAAGGCUCACCAAGGCGACGAUCCCUAGCUGGUUUGAGAGGAUGAUCAGCCACACUGGAACUGAGACACGGUCCAGACUCCUACGGGAGGCAGCAGUGGGGAAUAUUGCACAAUGGGCGCAAGCCUGAUGCAGCCAUGCCGCGUGUGUGAAGAAGGCCUUCGGGUUGUAAAGCACUUUCAGCGAGGAGGAAAGGUUGGUAGUUAAUAACUGCCAGCUGUGACGUUACUCGCAGAAGAAGCACCGGCUAACUCCGUGCCAGCAGCCGCGGUAAUACGGAGGGUCCUAGCGUUAAUCGGAAUUACUGGGCGUAAAGCGUACGCAGGCGGUUUGUUAAGCGAGAUGUGAAAGCCCAGGGCUCAACCUUGGAACUGCAUUUUGAACUGGUAGACUAGAGUACUGUAGAGGGUGGUGGAAUUUCCAGGGGUAGCGGUGAAAUGCGUAGAGAUCUGAAGGAAUACCGGUGGCGAAGGCGGCCCCCUGGAUUGAUACUGACACUUAGGUGCGAAAGCGUGGGUAGCAAACAGGAUUAGAUACCCUGGUAGUCCACGCCGUAAACGAUGUCAACUAGCUGUUGGAGGACUUGAUCCUUUAGUGGCGCAGCUAACGCGUUAAGUUGGACCGCCUGGGGAGUACGGCCGCAAGGUUAAAACUCAAAUGAAUUGACGGGGGCCCGCACAAGCGGUGGAGCAUGUGGUUUAAUUCGACGCAACGCGAAGAACCUUACCUACUCUUGACAUCCUCAGAACUUUCCAGAGAUGGAUUGGUGCCUUCGGGAACUGAGUGACAGGUGCUGCAUGGCUGUCGUCAGCUCGUGUCGUGAGAUGUUGGGUUAAGUCCCGUAACGAGCGCAACCCUUGUCCUUAUUUGCCAGAACGUAAUGGUGGGAACUUAAGGAGACUGCCGGUGACAAACCGGAGGAAGGUGGGGACGACGUCAAGUCAUCAUGGCCCUUAUGAGUAGGGCUACACACGUGCUACAAUGGUCGGUACAGAGGGUUGCCAAGCCGCGAGGUGGAGCCAAUCCCAGAAAGCCGAUCGUAGUCCGGAUUGGAGUCUGCAACUCGACUCCAUGAAGUCGGAAUCGCUAGUAAUCGUAGAUCAGAAUGCUACGGUGAAUACGUUCCCGGGCCUUGUACACACCGCCCGUCACACCAUGGGAGUGGAUUGCACCAGAAGUAGGUUGCUUAACCUUCGGGAGAGCGCUUACCACGGUGUGGUUCAUGACUGGGGUGAAGUCGUAACAAGGUAGCCGUAGGGGAAC
rnacentral:rRNA from 1 species